rnacentral:rRNA from 1 species
GACGAACGCUGGCGGCGUGCCUAACACAUGCAAGUCAACUUGACUGAAGGAGCAAUCUGACAGUAGAGUGGCGCAAGGGUGCGUAACGCGUAAGUAACUUGCCCCAAGGUAAGGAAUAACGUCGAGAAAUCGGCGCUAAUACCUCAUAAUGCAGCGGAUCCGCAUGGAUAUGUUGUUAAAGGUUUACCGCCUUGGGAUAGGCUUGCGUCUGAUUAGCUAGUUGGUGUGGUAACGGCACACCAAGGCUACGAUCAGUAACUGGUCUGAGAGGAUGAUCAGUCACACUGGAACUGAGACACGGUCCAGACUCCUACGGGAGCAGCAGUGAGGAAUAUUGGGCAAUGCUCGAAAGAGUGACCCAGCAACGCCGCGUGGAGGAUGAAGGUAUUCUAUAUCGUAAACUCCUGUGAGAGCAGACGAAAGACAGAUUAUAAUCUAGAUGACUGUAUGCUCAGAGGAAG